UGCAACAGCACAGUCUACCCCUAUGUUUACAACCUGACUUCCUCCUACAUCGACCAGAACAAUGAGGCCACCAUGGUGACCACCACCUUGGCCAUGUUCAUGCUGGCCGUGUUCUUCUUCAACCUCAACCUCUUCAGCCGCUUCUCCGACGUGAGCGCGAUUCUCAACCCUAGCGUCCGCCUCUUCCUCUCCACCUCCCUGUCCCUCUUCCUGCCGGUCAUGUCCUACCUCUUCUCCGAGGCCAAGAACCAAGGUGCAACGACCAUGGCUGCUACUACUAGCAGUAGCUCCAGUUAUGGCGAGCUCGGCGACGAGCUGUCGCUUCGAGCUAGGACGAUCCUCAUGUGGAUGCUUCUUGUGGAGCUCCUCCGCAAGAAGGUGGAGGCCGUCCUGGUCAGCGUGGGCAUGCAGUGGUACUCAGGCGCCAUCGAUCGCUUCGCCCGCAUCGUUUGGCUCGGCUACCUCGUCUUCUACAAUGUCAAAAGCCCCGGCAAGAAGGCGAUCUAUGGCACCUUAUGGGUCCUCACUGCUGCCAAGUUCCUGCAAAGGGUCGUCGUCAAGAUGGUGCUGGAGCGUUCCUUCGCCUACGGAAGGAACACCCAGCUGCUCAACUCAUACAUGGCCCAGAUCAUCCAACAAGAGCAAGAGCAAGAGCAAGAGGAGCACUCGGGAUCAUCGUCGUCGGCGGAGCUGUUGAAGAAGUGCGAGUACACCGUGAUGGGAGAAGAAAAUCUGGAGAGGACGGCUGGCCGGCAUGGCUACCAGGUGGAGCUGAACAAGGCGGCCGUUGUCACCGUUGGUGACAUUUGGACGCAGGCAGCAGCCGAGCCGGACAGCCUCCUCCGGAGAGAACACCUUAGAAGGCUCUGCCUCUCCUUUGCUCUCUACAAGCUGCUGCGCCGGAGGUUCGAGGACAUCCCCACAACAAGAGAGGAGACCCGGAACUGCCGGAACCUCAUCUUCAAGGGCUUGUUGAAGGAGCAAGAAGGUGCCGAGGUCGCACUGUUCCAAGUCUUCAACGAUGAGACCCAGUUCGUUUGCGAGUACUACCAUUCCGUCCUACCCGUCGUCUUGUCCGACCCUUUCUUCUUCCUGGUCAACUACAUCCUGUUUCCCAUUGUAGUUUCUGCCUUCUGCCUCCUAACACUGAUCAUCUGCGGCAAUGGGAGCGUCCGCUACGCCUACCAGAGCAUCACAAGUGACAACUACAUCAUAUACACUGGCGCGACGACGCUGACCAGAUGCCUCCUGAGAAACAUCGCCCAUUCACCCGAGGUGCUGUUCGCCAGCAUCGACCUAGGCACCACCACUCUGCUCAUCCUGGCCUUCGUCUACGAGGAAGUCGUGGAGGUCCUCGUCUUUAUCCUCUCCAAUUGGCUCAUCGUGUCGCUCCUCUGUCAGUACACCGCCAAGCGCCACUGGCGGCAGAGCCGCAUGGUAUGUUGGCUCAUCCGCGGCAUCCUGUGGGUGCGAAGCAUGCUAAGCCACCCUAACCUCAGCUUCAAGCAGCUCUCCGUGCUAAGGUUCUUCCAACUGUCGUCGCCUUCGCCGAUCAUGGUGCCAACCAAGGCAGUGCCCAAGGAAGUGAUGGAGUCGAUCGUGGAUUAUCUGGUGGUUCACUUGGAUGUCUACGGCAUCGAUGGCCAUGACGACCCUCUCAAUUCGGCCUGGUCCUCCACACUGCAACAGGAGAAGCACAGGGCAUACCGUCCCCUGCUCUUGCCGGUGUGUGAGAGCAAGAGCAUCGCUGAGUUCAUCCUCACCUGUCACAUUGCCACCGCCCUAAUGGAGGUGAGGUACCCGCAGGACGAAAAGGAAAUGGGAUCUCAUCGCAAGGUGGCGACGACGCUGUCCAAGUACUGCACUUACUUGGUGGGCUUUUACCCAGGGCUUCUUCCGGACGACAAGAAUGGGACAAAGCACACUUACAAGAAGAUGAAGGAGGACAUGAACAAGGAGCUUGGAGGGUGCUGGUGGUACCACCUGUCGCUGCAGGGAACCAGGUACAAGAGGCUGAUGGAGAUCGGCGAAUCGAAGCAGAAGGCCGUGACAAUGGUGCGCAACGGGGCCAGGUUAGGGACAGCACUGAUCGAGAAGGCCGAGGAGAACAACGAGGCGCGUGAUCGCGUGUGGGAGCUGCUGAACGACCUUUGGACGGAGGUCAUGGUGUAUGUGGCGCCGUCGGCCGGCGACCUCCACGUGAAAGCCCACAAGGAGGCGCUGGCGCGCGGCGGUGAGUUCAUCACCGUGCUUUGGGUGCUGUGUACGCACACCGGCAUGACCAGGCCAGCCCUCGCACCGUGGGAGGUAGCACGUCAUGCGUUUGAACCAUAGAGCAUUAUUGGCUUCCCGUGUGUGCCGAUCUUUCGAGGACAGCUUGCUUGGGAUGGUUCAUCUCACAUGCUCCAUUCCGCUACUAACGCUAACAUUAGUACCGCGUCAUAAUGUGACCGGUACUAAGGGAGUGGACGAAAGAUAUAUUAAAAAUAGAUAUAUAGCCACCCGUUGUGAAUGCAUGGGUUGAUGCCAGUAAUUCCUAGAAAACGAGGCCAACCACAACCUCUUCAUCCACUUCUCCGACGUGAGCGCACAAUUCUCAACACUAGUAAGAAACAGAGCUUUAGUCCCGGUUUUUUAGUCCCGGUUGGUAAGGAUCAUAGAUCCCAAAAAUCCAAUCGAGACUAACUAUUCAAGGCUAAAUGACUCCUUUAGUCCCGGGUCAUUCACCUGGGACUAAAGGUGCCCUUUAGUUCCGGUUGGUGUUACCAAGCGAGACUAAAAAAAUUCCAAAAAAAAUAAAAAAAGCCAUCCGCGCCCGCCGCCCGCCUGCCUCCCACGGCCGCGCUGGCCUCAUGCUGCCCGCCCGCGCCCACGCCGACCACGUGCUACGACCCGCCCGCACCCACCCGACCGACCGCCCGCGUCGGAGCAUGGAAGAAAGGGAGAGGAGGAAGAAGAAGAGAUAAGGUGGAGAGGCCCUGCGUGGGAGAUAAGAAAGGGAGGGGAGGAGAUAAGUGGAGAGAAAGGGAGGCGACGAGAUUUUGUCUUGGUUGGAAUUUCCAACCGCGACAAAAGAUUUACUUCCGGUUGGAAUUUCCAACCGGGAUAAGGGUGGCGUCGAUGUCAGAUUUUUUAGCUGUUAGAACCAAGCCUACAACCGUGACUAAAGCCCCUUCAGUCGGUGGCCUUUGGUGCCUCAUACCUGGGACUAAAGUCACUUUAGUUCCGAGUCCAAAGUCAACCAAGAUAAAAGCAUCAAGAUGGAAGGUCAGUUCUCUAGUAUUGCAAGCCUAGUGUCUGCCACCUCCUCUCCACCAACAUGUCCCUCUUUCUGCAUGUAACACUUUCACACAUGCAUGUAACUUGAUUAAUCUUCUCAUGCGUGUUCACAACAAACGCAUGGAUGAAAAACAUGUCAAGAUUAAUUUCCAACACUUUUUUCUUCUAUAGAUAGUUUCCACUAAGUGGUUCACCACAUAAUAAAAUUUAGAUACUUGUCUCUGCAUAUCAUCGAUCAAUGUUGUUAGAGGGAUACAACAUUAUCAUUGUGUACAUCAUAUCAAUGACCGAACUUCAACUAUUAUAGAUACUGUUAUACUGUUAGCAAUGCAUAUAUCUCAAAUAUUAUUGCUUCUCUUUAAUUAGCUAAAGAAUAGGAUGCUAGAAUGAAAACGUCAAAAGAAAAAACAUAAUGAUGAAGGCAUCAGGUCCUCUCUUUUGGGGGCCAAGAUUCCUGCUGAUAUUGAUAACAAAAGAAGGAUACCAUGGGUUCUCUCCCAUUUGGAACUAUAUGUGACAAAAGUUAUGCCAGUACCUUAAAUGCUAAGGCUUGCUCAUCUUUUGAAUUUUUGUUCUUUGGCGGCCCCUGUCAUUUGAGCCUUUUGAUAAAGUAAAGGAGAGGAGAAUAAGCGCUAAAGGAAAGACCAACUGCUAUGGUGUUACCCGAACACCAUUGGCGGCAUCUUUCGAUUUACAGUACAUGCAGGCACGCCAAUACUCUCCUUCAAUCGUGUGCUUGCAGAACCUAUGAAAACGAUGCUCAUGCUUUGCAAGGGCACGGAAAUUUCGACUCAGAACGUGUCCAGAGGAAAUGGGCCCACUCGUAUGAUUCAUGGGAACAUGAACAAACAGAGACGUUCAGAUUCAGAAGUAUGGAAUUUGCAAGUCCCCGCAACCCACCGCCCCCACGUUGCUCCCGCAUGAGUGACACUGGUGGACGAAACCCUCGCCGCUGCCGCCCCUUCCUCCCUCUCCCCACCGCUGUGCCACCGCCCAAGCCGGCCGCUGAAAGCCUACGCGUCUCAUGAGGACGGCGGCGGUGGGGCGGCCUGCUUCUCCCCUUGAUCUCCUGGUGGGCGUGGCCGCUGUGGAGGUCAGAGGGAGUCGCCCGUAGGGCGACACACGGCCGUGACAGCGAGGCCGGAUCCGGGGCCCCUGUGGCCGGAUCCGGGGCCCUCGAUGCCGGAUCUGUCUCCAAGUGCGGUGGCGGUGGCUUCCCCCACGCGGGGCAGUGGUCACCCUGCCCGGUGCGGAAGCUGCACGAGCGGUGUGCGCCAGGGUGGAUGCCGCGCGGUGGCGGCUGCGUGGGCCAAGGCUGAGCAAGGGGCGAAGUGGGCGGCCGCGGUCCUAUGGCAAGGUGGGGUCAACGUGCAGGCCUCCUUCGAUGACUACCUCCAGGACCGCACCAUGUUCCCCGACGAGAGCAAGAGCCAGCGGAUCAGUGAUGGGGAGUGGCGGGUCCAGAUGCUGCUGCUGCAAUUCCUCCUCGUCACAGUGCGCCCUGUGGUCAUCAUGCAGCUGCAACACCGCACUGGUGGGCUCGACCCCAGUGGCGACAUCUGCAGUCCUCGGCGGUGAGCUCCUAGGGAGCGGUGACAGUGUGAAGGCGACAACGGCGAUCUGGGUGGUGCGGCGGUGGUCCCGAUGCGAGGCAAAGAAGGCACAUGGUAGCAGGGGCCGCUAGGAGGUGGGGACACGGAGGAGGCGCCGAAGGACAAGACGAGGAGGAGGUGUCGGGCAUACACCUCAGGGCCACGAGUAGGCCUUGUACGGCCCACCCAGGGGCGUACUCGGACAUGAGCAGGAGUUGGAAGCUAUGUCACAGGGUAACGUAGCCUACACGGACUACUGAAGACUAGUCUUGGUGCAUAAGGAAACUACUCUACCUAGUUGGAGUAGGACUCUGUAAUCAUAAUCGACUAGGAUUCCACCCUGUAACCCUGCUCCCCCGAUAUAUAAGGGUAGGCAGGGACCCCCUCCAAAGAACCAACUCAUACGCAAUACAAACAUCACACAAGACGUAGGGUAUUACGCGUUCUAGCGGCCCAAACCUGUCUAAAUCGUGUGCCUUGCAUCACCAUCAACUCCUUGAUUCUCGACGUCUCCACCACACAAAAUACCUCCUAGAGGACUCCCUAAGCGGGUUGCCGGUCUAAAACACCAACAGCUGGCGCACCAGGUAGGGGAAGUCGCCGAGUUUCUUAGCGCGAGAUCGAUGGCACCAAUUGUCAUCAAGCCAGCGCUCGCUUUCAAAGCAGGCGCAACUUUCAUCUUCGACUCCUGGCUUUGCAUCACCAACGGCGCCGGAUCCUUCCAGUGCUACCUCAUCGACAACCGGGAGAAAGAGCAUCUCAACGAAAACCCUCUUCGUAAAGAAGCAGACAGCCUCAUCGAGAAAAUCGACAAAUUCAAUCUCAGAUCAAGAUUCGACUACAACUCGAAGUCCAACGACGACUCCGAGUUCGACUACAACUCGAAGUCUGACUAUGACUCCAUUUUUAGUUUCGAGUUCAACCCCAACUUGGGGUCCAACUACAACUCCAAAUCAUAUCCAGGUCAAACUCCAUUCGGACUCCACAACGCAGCCACGGUCCAUCACUCCUUACUCGAAUCCAAUUCGGACUAGAGUCGAAGGAAGACUAUGCUACGACUCGGAUACACCCGAAGAGUUCAUCAGCAACUGCCACAGCUUCGUCGAUGACGACUUCCACGGGCGGCUCGCCGGUGACUUCUCCGACUACGUCGCGGCGCUCACUUAUGACUAUGGGCGGCUUGCUAACAAUUUCUUGGACUAUGUCAUGGUACUCGCCGACGACUACUUCAACAGGUGGCUCACCGGUGACUUCUCUGACUACGUCGUGGUGCUCACUGAUGAGUACGGGCGGCUCACCGACAAUUUCUCAGACUACGUCAUGGCACUCACCGACGACUACUUCGCUUGGCGACACACCGACGAAAACUUUGUCUGCUCACUGACGACUUCUCCGACUACGACACAGCGCUGGCUGACGACUAUGGGCGGCUCGCCGAUGAUUUCUCGGACUACAUCGUGGCACUCGACGACGGCUACUUCGACGGACGGCUCCCCGACGACUAAUCCGACUUUGCGACGUCCCUCGGCGACCCACCGAUGACUACUUCAACUUCGCGCGGGCGCUCGACAACUCGUUGAUGGCUACUUCGCUCGGCGCACACCAACGAAUACUUCGACUGCUCACCGACGACUUCUUCGACUACGUUGCGAUGCUCGUCAACGACUACUUCGACGGGUGACUCGCUAGUGACUACGUCGACUACUUGUCCCGACUAGAAAACUAGUCGGGGCAGAUUUCGCACCAUCAACGACUGGUCGGAACCGACUCCGACUAGUCAGCUUCGUCAACAACCGUCAUGGUUUCAUUGACGACCACCUUGGCUUCAUCGACAAUCAUCGACGAAUCAAGCUAAGUCUCUUUUCUGACAAUUUCCUAGCUUGAUUUCCUCUUGCGCACAAUACGCGCUCUACUCGCUAGAGGGCAGCAAACUCUCGCGCACAACACGCACUCUACUCACCGGAGGGCAGCAAAACUCUUGUGCAAUCGUGCUUGCUUUUUGUCGCAGCAGCGACUACUCACUUUUGUCUUCUCUUAAGAUCACUACUCUUCUCAAGAUGAACUUGCCUUGACACGUGAACGCCUCAGGUGCACCUGUGACGCCAAAUGCUAGCACACAUACACGAGACCACGCUCUUAGUUGUGCACAUAGCAAUGCCCAUACAUGUAUAUGAGACAACGCUCUCACACAUGCAAUGGCUACGGCUAAAUGGGGACUAAGAGCCUAAACGUAAUAGGCUAAAUGCUCGAGAAGAAUAUGAUCAAAAUAAGAGCAUGACACACAAUAUUUCAUAUUGAUCACUGAAUAACUUUCAGUAGUUUCAAUAUUCUACAAAAAUGCUACAUAUUGUACGCAUCUUUUCUUUCAAGUCAAACUUUGGCGAUGACGCUCGUCGUGUCACUAAGCAUGCCUCUAACGGCAUAGACUAGUUCCCGAACUCGGGGACUAAGCACCAAUCACUACUCGGGAUAUCUCUAGUGACUCAGCUAGCUCCUAGGCUCGGGGGCUAGACGCCGCAAAACUACUCGAUGUGGCUCCUACGGCUCGCCCAGCGCAUAAGCUCGGGGGCUGGAUGCCGCAAAACUACUCGGAUGAUGACUUACGCAGAGAUUCAAGAUCCUUGAGAUGAUUAUUCAAUCAAUUCAAGGCUCGAGGGCUGAUAAGCUACACCCAUCAGUUGAUUUUUUGUCAAGCCGGAAGAAAAAGUUUCAAGAUUUUGACCCUCAGCCUGAUUCUACGAGUCAACCUAAGGCUCAGGGGCUCCUCCAUAUGGAGUGUGAUUGUCAUCGCACUAUCAUAUAAAGAUUCAAGACAAAGGCUACUUGAAGCAACGUUACGCAAAGCAGAGAGUACCUUCCAGCCAUGUGACAGUACUCGGUUACUCGAAGGCUAGCCACCACGAGAAGCGCUCAAAAAGCACCAGAUAGUACUCGGGCAACCUCUUCAAGUACUCUGAGCUGUUCCACUCGACUACAAAGUACUCGGGGGCUUGUCAGGCAUACAUCCCCAGCCCCACGAGUAGGCCUUGUACGGCCCACCUAGGGGCAUAGUCGGACGUGAUCAAUACUUGGAGGCUACGUCAUAGGGUAACAUAGCCUAAACGGACUCCUGAAGACUAGUCACGGUGCAUAAGGAAACUAUUCUACCCAGUUGGAGUAAGACUCUGUAAUCGUACUCGACGAGGAUUCCACCCUGUAACUCUGCUCCCCCGAUAUAUAAAGGCGGACAGGGACCCCUUCCAAAGAACCAACUCAUAAGCAAUACAAGCAUCAUACAGGAUGUAGGGUAUUACGCGAUCUAGCGGCCCAAACCUAUCUAAAUCGUGUGCCUUACGUGACCAUCGACUUCUUGAUUCUCGACAUCCCCACCGCACAAAAGACCUCAUAGGGGACUCCCUAGGUGGGUUAUCAGUCUAAAACACCGAUAGGAGGUGCGAUGGACAAUAGUGACCCAUCUAGAAGAGCUGCAUGGAGAGGAUGCCGGUGCAGAGGACGGCAACGUGGAGAUGGUCGUGCAAGCGAUGAGGAGCGGAGCGGCGGCUCGAAUGCCACGAGGCCAUUCUGGUGCCGCGGGAACCACUCACAUGCUGACGUUGUGGUGGUGUGAGGAUCUACGCUGGUGGUAGUGGGGGCCAUUGUCGCAGAAAGCUUUGUGUUUGCGCACAUGGUACAACUGAGAUUAUGACGGCGGCAAGGUGGAGGUGAAGUUAUUAGAGUAGCUCGGUGGGACCAUGUCACCCUGAUGGAAAAUCAUGUCUGGAUCCUUGGUAUGGAGUCCAGCGGUGGAAGUGGUGAGAUCCCCGUUUGCUUUAAGGUGAUGUGUACGAGGAGUUGUGUGUGGCGGUGAAUGUGGCUAGAACCCCACACAUUUUGAGUUGCCUUGGAGGGCCAGGAUCCGGUGCAGUGUUUUGAUGGUUGGUGUGUACGGUGCGAUAGCAGUGCUUCGGCGUUGGGUCCUGCAGUGCGGUGGUCGUUUCAGUGUGGUGCAGUGUGCUCCUCCUUUGACUUAUGCUAAUACAAAGCCGUGGAUUGGGAGAUCGAUGACCGUGUGUGUGUGACCUGAGGACGACGACGACAUGGUAGAGAAGCCCUAGUAGCUACACGACUUGCAGCGGACUGCGACGGCCAGUCCUACGUGGCUUCGGCUGGUUUGGCUGGGACAUCGUCGGGGACGAUGGCGCUAGCGAUGAGGGCUACUUGGCGGCUUUUCCUGCUCAGUGGUGGUGGCAUGGUGGUCGCUGCUAGCUCAAGCGUUAGCGUUGAGUGGCUUUGCGUCGACGACCACCCAUAGAGUUCUUUUUUUGUUUUGAGUUGAGUCGGCAUUAUCUGUUGGGAGCUACUUCGGUGGCUCUGUUGUUAUACCCAGUCUAGGAUCUUUCUUCUUUUUAAAUAAUCGACAGCUCUCCUGCCUGGUUUGUUUGAAAAAAAUUCAAAAAUACGGUUGGAUGUAAGAUUAACGAGUUAAUCUUCAUGUAGCAUGUACAUAGACAUGUAACCAAGAAACACAAACUUUUUUACAACGGAACUCAAGUGUAUUUGAGUUGUACAGGCAGAGAUAUGACUAUAGAAAUUGGGGAAGCAGCACUUUGCAUGUAAUAUAGGGUUGAAUAAAUCACCUCUACCGUGGUUUAUACGUCAGUACUGUACAACAAAACCUGGCCACCAUCCCUAAAUUACAUGAUAAAAACUCUAUCAUCUACAACCAACAACUCUAGGUACGGUAGUUGUACACAUUACACGAUAUUGGUACGUAUGUUUAACUUGACCUGAAUGCAUAUGUUUAACCUUGGAGAAGAUAGUCCGAUUCAACCCUUAGAAAUCCUUUAAGAGAUGUGUCCAUGUUAAUCUUGCUACUACUAAUUGGAGAUACCGGAGGAUUCUCAAGUUAAGACGCAUGGGCGGCCGUGCUAGAAAAAAUAAGAUCUCAAAAACUCAUGAAAACAGAAAUUGCACCUCAUCACAAGGUGGACACGGUGCCCUACUGCAGCCCAAGCAACUACUACACUUGCAUUGGUGUUCUUUUCAGACAGUGCUCGCUGCAGGACAAAACGCUGACAGAGAUUUGUUGUUGCCAUUCUAGAAUCGUUUUAGCUGUGGCUUCGUUUCAUUCAGGAUUAAUUUGCAAAAAAAAUGUAUUUUCAGUGGAAAAUAAUGUAACCAGAUUGGCUCGAUUGCCCCAGAAAGAUAUAAUAACUCCAUGCAGUAACAUAUACAUGGUCAUACUUUAAUUAUUGUGCGUACAGUUGUACUACAGCAAGGCAUAUAUCUUAGCUGUCUCUUCGCUUUAACUAAAGAAUUGGAUGCUAGGAUGAAAGAUCCAUGGUUUGGGGCCACUAUUACUAGCUUUCUGCUGAUAUUGAUAACGAACGUAGGAUGGCAUGGGUUCCCUCCCUUUCUACAAAUGGGAGAGAACCCUGGUAUCCUUCUUUCGCUAUCAAUAUCAGCAGGAAUCUUGGCCCCAAAAGAGAGGACCUAAUGCCUUCAUCAUUAUGUUUUUCUUUUGACGCUUUCAUUCUAGCAUCGAUCCUAUUCUUUAGCUAAAGCGAAGCAAUAUUUGAGAUAUAUGCAUUGCUACAGUAUCUAUAAUAAUUGAAGUUCGAUCGUUGAUGUACACAGUAAUGUUAUAUUCCUCUAACAACAUUGAUCGAUGAUAUGCAGAGACAAGUAUCUAAAUUUUAGCUCCAAGUAAGUUUUAACCAAAAGUUUAUCUUAAGGGGUUCCACGACCCAAAUCUGUACUCCCCUAAAAAUAAACUUCAAUGGUAGUCCGACGGACUAUAGGGCCACCUGAUUAAACCUAUGAUUAACGACCAACAUAUCUAUCACUUACUCUCACUAUUUCCUUAUUAUUUGGUGAACCGCUUAGUGGAAACAAUCUAUAGAAGAAAAAUGUGUUGGAAACUAAUCUUGACAUGUUUUUCAUCCAUGCGUUAGUUGUGAACGCGCAUGAGAAGAUUAAUCAAGCUACAUGCAUGUGUGAAAGGGUUACAUGCAUGUGUGUGAAUGCAGUGCAUGCAUGCGCGUAUGGAGAAGACUAGGAUCUGCAUGCAUAUGGAAGCUUAGGGAGUUAUGUGUUACUCAAAGAGUCUCUAGACAAUGUGAAUCGAACGUGUCUUGGUACACUGGUAGAAAACUGAGUAUUAGUCCCAGUUGGAACGUUGCAAAUCUCCCAAAAAACCAUCCGGGAUAAAGCAAUCGAGAUAAAAGGGGGUGUCUUUUAUCCCAGGUCCCUCAACCGGGACUAAAGACACCCUUUAGUCCCAGUUGGUAAUACCAACCAGGACUAAAUGGUUUUGCAAAAAAAAUUAAAAAAUAAAUAAAUUCCUGUGGGGUCCUAGGGAGGCCUCCCCGCGACAAGCCACAAGUCAUGCGAUUUUCACGCGAAAUAUGCGCAUGCGCGGCUCGUGGGAUUCGAACCCACGACCUCAAGCCUCGCGCGUAGCUUCCUUGCCAUCCAACCUACACAUCAUAUCUAACUAUAUAGGGGAUCCAAUCCUUUUAUACUAACUUGUGGGGAACCCUUUAAUCCCGGUUGGAGAUACCAAACGGGAUAAAAGACCCCCUUUUAUCCCGGUUUGCAUUACAAACUGAGAUAAAAGGGUCUGGAACAUUUAUUCCUUCCCCGGAGCACAUGUGGGGGACCAUUUUAUCCCAGUUGGAAACACCAACCGGGAUAAAAGACCCUAUUUUAUUCCGGUUGGUAUUACAAACCGGGAUAAAAGGGUCCGAGGCCUUUAGUUCCUUUUCAGCCACCCGUGAGGGACCCUUUUAUCCCGGUUGGAGUUUCCAACCGGGAUAAAAGACCCCAUUUUAUCCCGUUGGUGUUGUGAGCUUUAGUCCCGGAUGAUAACACCAACCGGGAUUAAAAGGGUGACCUUUAGUCCUGGUUAUUCUUACCAUCCGGGACAAAAGGGUCCCCCACAGGUAGCUAAUUUUUUCACCCGGGACUAAAGGGUCCCCCACGGGUGGCUGAUUUUUGAACUGGGACAAAAGGUAACUUUUAGUUCCGGUUGCAAAUACCAACCGGGAGUAAAGCUCUGCGAACGCCCUUUUGUACCAGCCUUCUUUAAACCGGGAUUAAAAGGAAGCGCAUCGAAAGUUAGUUCUCUACUAAUGGUAGUGUGAAACCCGGUAGUUCCUCAGCUUCUCCUGCUUCGAAUCUGAACUCCCCUCCCCGUGCUGACAGAAAAAGGGGUAUUUAUACCCUAGAGACGCCAUGGUAUAAAAGAGAAGUGGGCGAGGUGAAAGCCCAUGCCGAUCGGCCUAGGUGGGUCCAAGCCGAUCGACCUGGCCCUUCCUUUCAUCCCCAAUUGCUCAAUGGAAACUCUCAUUUCAUCAAGUCUCUCAAAGCCUAUGCUAGAACAUUGUCAACCUAUUCUACUUACAAACAAGUGGUAGGCUUAUCUGGAUCUUGGUAGGUAGAAACAGUCCUUGCAAAGUAUAAUAGUCAGAAUAUUAUCAAAUUAGGAAACACUUCUAUUGGGUUGUCAAAAAGGUCAUGGAGAAAUAGUUGCUUAUAGAGAGAGAAUGGAACACACACUUUUUUAGAUGGCGGACAUGUGCAAGGGAAAAUAGGUGAUCCCGAGACACAAAUGAAGUUAUUGUUAUCGAGUUGCAUAUGGUUAGAAAAUUUUAGUGUUAACCCUGCUCUUAAUCAUAUGUAACAAGACAUGGCACUCCAUUUAGAUGUUCAAUUAAUAUUCUAGCUUAUUAUUAUGGAGGAUAGACAUUUUUCAAUGAUGAACAAGCCACAAAGAAUUUAGAACAAUGCUCUCAAAUUUAAAUCAACUUCAGAACUUUUCUUUCAAUGGAGCAUAAUUUUCAAACAGGACUAGAUCAACAUCAGCAACAGAAUUCUUGCAAUUGCUCAAUGGAAACUCUCAGCUCAUCAAAUCUCUCAGAGCCUAUGCUAGAACAUUGUCAACCUAUUCUACUCAUAUAAACAAGUGGUAGGCUUAUCCGGAUCUUGGUAGGUAGAAACAGUCCUUGCAAAGUAUAAUAGUCAGAAUAUUAUCAAAUUAGGAAAUACUUCUAUUGGGUUGUCAAAAAGGUCAUGGAGAAAUAGUUGCUUAUGGAGAGGGAGAGACUGGAACACACACUUUUUUAGAAUGUUGACAUGUGCAAGGGCAAAUAGGUGAUCCCGAGACACAAGUGAAGUUCUUGUUAUCUAGUUGCACAUGGUUGGAAAAUGAGUAUGGAUUUACCUUUAGGGGACUGGGAAAUUUAUGAAGCUCAAAGAACUAUUGAGAAUUUUUAUUAUCAUCUUUCUUUUUGCUCUUUUUCUUCUUUUUCUCAUCUCAUUUUUAAUUUUAUUUUUUAAUUUUUUUCUUUUGCUUCCUUAGAACUUUUUGCAACAUAAUACUUACUUAGCAGUGGUCAGAGAUAACGCGAUGACUCCAACCCCCAUGCUUGAACGAUGCUCGUCCUCGAGUAUGAAAGAGAGAACUAUUGUGACCCUUUUGAGAUUCAUUUGAUGCUUUCAUGAUCAAGAUCACCUGCACUCCACCUAUAUAUGCUAAACUCCUACACUAGUAGUUCACAACAAUUAUCACCCAUCCAUUCCACAAAAUAAAUACUCCACUACAUAUGUUGAUUUCUCUCAAGUUAUCAUUACAAAAGAAACAUGGGCUAUUGAAAAAGAGAGGGACACAUGAAGGUCCCAGUAUAGAAAAAAAUAUGAACACAUGAAGGUCCAAGUAUUAAAAAAAUGAAGAAAAAAAGGAGUCGGACACAUGAAGGUCCAAGUAUGUGAAUAAAGUGGAAGAUAGCCAUGUUCUCAAUAUUAAAUAUGUCCAAAGGGAGAGAGAUUAUAUAAAAUGGAGUUUCCAUACAUUCCCUAUCCACCACCCACAUAUUCACACACAUGCACAUCUUGAUCUGAUUGUAUGACUUGUUUUCUCCUUAAAUCCGGUUUUUGAAUUUGCAAUAUAUGUAAUACAAGUAUGCUUUAUUUUCAUCCCCUACCUUGAGCUCCACAAAAAGCUUUAUUAGAAGUAGGAAGGAAAAGAGGCAAACAAAUGCCUCGGUAAGGAACCAUACACAUUGAGCGAUCUGAGAUAAUCAUUCGAGGAGCAAGUCUAUGCUUUGUUCUGAGAAUAUUUCAAAAACCUAAGAUAUCUGAGUACGAGAAGUUUGUUACUUCUCUUCUUCCUUUUUAUAUAUGUGCUCUUUUAUUGUACACAAUACUAAGCUAUACUACUGUUCAAAAAGGACUAGUAUACAAAUAUUUGACGGUUAAGAUUAAUUGUAUACUACUGAAACCUUCACCUGUGGUAUGGGUAGUAUACAUGACUAGUAUAAGGGUAUUAUGGUAAAAGAACACAAAUGAUAUCACUAAAAUUUUAUUUUUGACACUAGCAUAAAGUUUAAAAUGCCAUUUCAUUUGAAAUAUCACUUUUCACAUGUAAUAAUUACUAAAUCAUGAAUAUUUAUAUCUUAUAUAUACUUAUAUACUACUAAGUAGUAUAAGCAGCAGGGGAUUACCCCUCGUGUUCCUAAAGAUAAAAUAGAUUACAACUCCAGCGGACGUGCUACAAUUCUUCAGGGCGCCGUGCCUGCCCUGAAAAAUUCCUGAAUGAGGGACGAUUUGCCGAUGAAUACUGCUGAAAUCAACAAGCUGGCCAAGAGCCUUAAAAAGUGGUUGAAUGUUGAAAGCUAAAGUAAGCAAAGCGCACUUGAUCAGUCCAACACACAACUUCCACAAAUUAAACAUGAGCUAGCACGAAGCAGUUCAUCACGAGAUCGACACACGACUGUGCGGACAUGAAGUUGUUGAUGCAUGCGGUCUCUGAUCAUCACGUACCAGCAGGCGGUGAUUUACCAUUACCGCCUGCCACUGCUGGCGGAGGAGACGGUGCCGGCGGAGUGCUCCCCCAUGAGACCGGGUACUCCAGUUCUUCUUCCGUCUUGCAAGGGACCUUGCCGCCGUCCGGGGUGCUUGCAUCGCUACGGAGGAAGGUAACCGGCCAGCAGUAAUAGGUCUUGUUGAUGAUCUUCUCCGAGUGAGCACGCUUGUAGCUGGUCUCCACCACCACCAUCACGGGGAAGCUGCGGUGGUGCCUGUCGGAGAGGUAGUGCACCGACGCGUAUUGUCCUUGCCUGUAGAGGCUUACCCACCUCCUGUACCUGUGCGAGCUGUGCGGCUGCAGGUCGAAGAUGACGUUCGUCUCCGGCUGGUACCAUAAGAACUGCACCAUCUCCGUGAAGGAAGCAUUGGGGUUGUCUAUGACCCUGAUGAUGCUGAUGUUGCACUGGAUCUGGCCGCGGCCGCUGGGGUUGAGGGCGUCGACGAUGAUCAGCAUCGGCACCUCUCCCGCUGGCGAGUACACAGACGUGGUGUUGUCGUAAAUCCACCACCAUUGUUGUGUCUGGACAUAGCCGUAGCUCUGGAGGUCCAUCUCCACGGGGCGGUUGACGAAGACGAUCACCAUCACCACCACCGCGACGGCGAGCACGGAGACCACGACGGCCACCAGUGAGCGCACCGUGGCUAGGAAGGGGAAUGUAGUGUUCUGGCCAGCGCGGCAUGUUGCCAUUUUUUCUCACGUAGGUAGCUAGGGCGGUGGAUGAUGGACUUGUCCGCUAGGGACCUGCAGCCAUAUAUACACAUAAAUUACUGACCGAAUGUUCAUUCCCUUUUUUUGGUUAGAUGACUCAGAUUAGUCUACCGGUUAACAGGGGGCUUGGCUAACAAUUAGGCUGCCUAUUAACCUCCUGUUAGGAUCAGCCAUGGCAAAGUUUUGACGGUUAACGAUCUCCCUAUAUAUCUAAACAAGUUCUUAGGUCAUGUUCCGUUCUUUAGGAGCUCCUAAAAUUCAUGUCACAUUCGAUGUGACAUGAAUUUUAGUCUGGACUAAAGAACCAAACACCCCAUUACUCCCCUCCCCCUCCCACCUCCCACACCAAUGUUCAAAAUUUUGGCCGAAAUUUCAUGAAAUUUGAUCUUUUGGUAGUGACCGAAAUUACUAUUUGCCCGAAAUUUCGGUAUGUCAACCGAAAGAUGCACUUUUUGCACCAAAUUUCACAUGAAAUUUCAUGAAAUUAGGUGUUUUCGAUGGGGACUGAAACUUUUCUGAAAACAAAAUCCCAAUCCCUGCCCCACACCGUCCAAGUAGAAUUAGGACACACUCUUUAUACAGUGAUAAUUCAGGCUUCUGCCAACCACAGGAACCGGAGUUGUUUAAUUUUUUGGCAAAAUGUCGUGCAGAUGCUUACAUACAAAGCAUUCGUACAUGCACCAAUUAUGAGUACUUCUGCAACACCGUGUCAUUAUGCUUUCAAUAUCUGGUCUUUAAAAACCUUAGAUUUACCUAUGAUGACUUGGUUAAUUAAUCUCAAGAUCAUCUGCUACCUAGAGUUUUGGUGGCACUGGAUCAUAGGGCACAGUUGUAUGUGUAUUCAUCAGAAUGAGUGCAUGUGCAUCUAUAUGAUGUCCGUGUUUUUUUUAAAAAAAUAAACCUGCGCAGGUCAUGAUGCUUCCACUAUCCUGUCUUAUCUGUUUGGAUACCAGGGGCUAUACUUUAGCUCCUGUCAUAUCAGAUGUUUGAUACUAAUUAGAAGUAUUAAAUAUUGACUAAUCACAAAACUAAUUGCACAGAUGGAGGCUAAUUCGCGAGACGAAUCUAUUGAGCCUAAUUAGUCCAUAAUUUGACAAUAAGGUGCUACAGUAACCAUUUGUUAAUGAUAGAUUAAUUAGGCUACGUCUCGCGAGUUGGUCCAGAAUUUGUGCAAUUAGAUUUAAAAUUAGCUCAUGUUUAAUUCUCCUAAUUAGCAUCAAAACAUUAACUGUGACAAGGGCUAAACUUUAGCCAAGGACAACCAAGCAACAUGCACGCCUAUAUAUGCUCUUUGAUCAGAAAAGGAAAGAAAUAUUCCCAAAAAAAAGGAAUAUGUGCUGCGGUCCAUACACGUUCUUUGAAGAAAUAUUCCAUACUUAUUUUAUGUCAUUGUAGAAGGACUUUGAAUAAGGUUCGAUGGAGUCACGUGGCUGCGUCUGCUGGCAGCUGAUCGAUGAGUCAUAUUACUAUUGGACUUGUGUUUUGGAUGCUUAUGUUUUGGAUUACAUUCAGAAUGUACGGGCAGGGGCGAAGCCACGUAUAAGAUUUUUAUUUACCACUAAUUAGACUCAAAAUUACCAUAUAAUCCUAGCUUGUAAAUUAAAAUUUACAAGUCUCUUGAGCAGUGCACCACGGUCAAUUCAGCGCUAGCUUCGCCCCUUUGUACGGGGAUUAUGCAACCCAGAAACGACGACUAAGAGCCUCAUUUCCGGACAUGCGUCCCUAUGAUCCUUUAUAUACUCCAAAUGUCUGAGUGGCCGGCUCAUACUUGCCAUGGCGAUGUCUAUCCCUCCUCUCAAAGGAUGGAGCAGCAAGCUCCUUGUAGUUGCGGCCAUGAUAGGAACCCUGGUCGUGGUCGCCAUCGCCGCCGUCAUCAUCGUCGGCCUCACUCCGCCACUGGUCUUCUUCUCCAUCCAAGAUGCAAGCCUCCAAGGCGGGCAGUUGAAACAGCAAAAAUUCUACAACUUCACCCUCUAUGCCAACAACACCAGCCGGCGCAUGGAGGUGCACUAUACCAACCUCAACACCGAGAUCUGGAUAGCCCCGUCUGAGUGGUACCCGGCCGAGGUGAGCAUGAGCGGGUUCGAGCAGCCACCGGUGAGCAUCAACGGGUACAAGCAGCCACCGGACAACGUGACCAAGGUCGCCGGGUGGGCCGAGUUCUAUCAGACGACGUCGUUGACGGCGGCGGCGCAGGGCGGCGGCGCGGGGAAUUGGCCAAACUGCACUGUGGUGGUGAUGGCCAAGGUGUUGUUCAAGGUCGGGCUGGCACGCACACGGCCGUACCACAUCAGGGUGUUCUGCUUCCCCGUCAACUUCCUCAAUACGACUCGGUACGCCAAUUGUACAUACUGAUCUCGAUCGACGUGUAUGCAUGCAUCCAUGUUGUUGAACGUGUACAUGACUGUUGUGACGUGCUCCUUUACCAUAGCUUCAGAUCCUGACUUGUAGCAUUGACAGAGUAUGCGUCUAUUAUGGCAGAGAGCCUCUUGUACAUGUAUUUAACUCAAUCCAGAGAUCAAUAAUGAAAGGAUGCGGUUUUUUUUUAGGAAACAGGAGGGGAAGUACCCCUGCUGAUUAUAUAUUAAUAUAUAGUUGACAGUACACUAGUGAUACAAACCUUGUUUAUGACACAAAGAAAGAAACAAAAAAGAUUAAGAAAAUUACAGUGAAUGCUCUAACCAUUGAACCAUUGAUUGUUUCCAAGACUCUCUGACACGAAAUACUACCAAACUGAAAAUCUGUUUGAACCGUUCCUUUGCAGCUUGAUAAGCUGGCACUAGGGCCUUUGAAGAUGCAGUCAUUGCGUGUCAUCCAAAUACUCCAGCUCAUAAUUACGAUAAUUUCCAUAAAGAAAGGCACUUGCAACUGGUUCCAGCUCAUAAUUACGAUAAUUUCCAUAAAGAAAGGCACUUGCAACUGGUUCCAGAAGCUAACGAGAAUAUCAUAAGGUUGUUGCUGCAAAUCCACAAAGAGGCCGAGAUUGAUCCAACACUCCUGUGCGAAUGGACAAUCUAGUAAUAGAUGAAAGAGGGUUUCUUCCUUGUUGUGGUUCCAGAGGACGCAGUUAUAGGAAGGGAGAGCCAUCUGCUUUCGUUUAAGCUCCACUGGCGGCAGAGCCGCAUCCUGUGUCGGCUCAUCCGCGGCAUCCUGUGGGUGCGAAGCAUGCUAAGCCACCCUAACCUCUGCUUCAAGCAGCUCUCCGUGCUAGGGUUCUUCCAACUGUCGUCGCCUUCGCCGUUCAUGGUGCCAACCAAGGCAGUGCCCAAGGAGGUAAUUAAAGAUUUCUUCAUCGGUAAUGUCGCGCGGUUCUUGGUUUCAAGUACUGCCUGUAUUUUUUUAUUUUUUAUUUUUGCCUUGUCAUUUGGUCCGUCAGAACUAAGUUUGUCGAAUUCCUUCUGAAUAAGCUUGAGACGCUGGUCGUGCUUGUUUGUUGGUGUGCCUACGUGCCGCGUAGUUGUCGUAGCAAAUACUUUCGGUUCCAUAUCGCCUGUGACUGGACCGGGAUGUUCUUCAAUCUGUUAUGGCCCUGUAUUCUGUUUUUAUAUGGAUCCCACAUAUAAUCAAUUUCCAACAUUUGCUUUCCUCUGUACAUUCAGCAUGUUGUCUUUUUUUUUUUUUUGAAGCGCAUUCAGCAUGUUUCGCAGAUGUUUGGAAGGAUGAUCCAAAUUCUGAAUGCACAGACCCUGUUGGGAAAUUGAUUUCCCCACUGCGUGUCUGUGUUUACAUGCAUCUUCUAACUGUGGUUCCAAUGGCCCGUCUAGGCCCAUACAGGCCUAUCAGGUGGAUGGGCCGGCCGGCCUCCUGGAUCAACAAGACCGGUAUCCCUUCUUGGCCCGUCCGCCCCCGCUGUAGAAACAAAACCAGAACCAGCAGAUCCCCCGGGCCCUGAAGAGAAAGACGAUGGCAACAGAAGAAAGAGCUCGCGACGAAGCCGGCGAAAGCCCCCCAAACCCUCCCCAGCCCAGGCAGCGGCGGCGCGACGAGAUGGCCGACGACCCCACCGCCGGCGGCGGGAACACCGUCGAGGACGUCGUCCGCGCGGAGGUGAGCAUCCCCGGCCGGCCCUCGUCCUCUUUGCUGCGAGUGCCGGGGAAUCCGAUCUCCGCCCGGGCCGACCUGGCUCUGCUCGGCUGCCUCCCGAUCUGCCCGCGCGGGUGGCGGCGCCUCGCCCCUAGUUCGGUUUCGGGUUAGAGGUGUCCCAGCGUGGUGUCUGGGCGGGGGGAAUCCGGCGACGAGGCGUUCUCCCUCCCGUUGGCUCGGUUGGCGCGGACGGACGCGGUGGGCCUGGUUGGGGAAAUCUGUGCCCGUUUCGAUUUGGGUGUAGAAUAGGUAUACGUCUUCAAAAUUGAUAGAAUUAGGCCCGUUUAUAAAAAAUUGAUAGAAUCUGCCUGCAAGGCGCGGUUUCCCAGCUGGCCCGUCCUCAUUUACUAAUCCCCACCAAGCUUAGCAUCUUUCCUUUCGAUGAAAUAAAAAAAUGUUAAUGUCAACAGCUCCUCGAUUACCGCAUAGAUUAACACCUCUUUAGCCUUUGUGGCACGGCACCUAAUACUUUCCUCACCUUUGCAGUGCCGUGGGCCCGCCACUUCCCUUCUGGCCCACAAGUCAUGGAGGCGCGCGAGGAGGGGUAUCGGUUUCACGAUGAUUAAUCAAGAAAGGCCCAAGACACGUCACGCUGGGGGUGGGGGAGGGAAGACACCGCACCGCAUGCACCUGCAUGCACCUUUGCCUUUGCUUUUCCCCGGCGUCCUAGGGACCUCGAGCUCGCCCGCCUAGGAGCUCCAGCAGCCGGGCCGCUCCGCCGCCGGUGCGGCAACCACGCCGCCGUCAGACCACCUCGCGCGGCCACCCCGCGCCGGUGCGCCGUGCGCGGCGGUGCUGUCCCGCCGCUCCUCCGCCUACCGUCCUCCUGCGCCACCACCAGCUAGCGCACCGGCAGCACCGCGAGCUGCCGCGCCGCCCCGACGACGUUGGUCAUUCCGGAGCCCGGUGUCGUCACCAGCGUCGCCGGAGAAGGUAAUUACCUGAAGCAAUUUGUAGAAACGAAUAGUACUGGUUCGUUCACUUAUUUCAUUGCUCAAACUUAAUUUCUGCUUAUUAGAGUUUGUGCCUUGUCGUGAGACUAAAUUAGCUGCUUAUUCUGCAGGUUGCAUUCAGGAGAUCGAGCUGCCGGAUCGGAGGAGGUCAUAUCAGCCGUGUUGGUUGUGCACUUGUGUUGCUGCCGGCGGAGAAGGAACCAUGGUGAUCGGGCCACUGAUCUCCAUAAUGUAGUUGAACUAAAAUAAUCCCCUUCUGAGUUUAGCAUCUUUCCUUUGGAUGAAAUAAAAAAUUGUUAUUCCGGAUCCGUAAUCUCAACUGCUCCUCCAUUACACAUAGCAUCUUUCCUUGAGUUUAGCAUAUUAUUUCAACAUUUCAAAACUCUAGAUUCAACAUUUCUUGAAACUUAGUGCAACAUUUUAGAUAAAUCGAUUCAACAUUUAGCAUAGUAUUGUUGAAAAUGUUGAGCUAGUAUAUGUUAUUUCAACAUUUCUGCAAAGCUAGCUCAACAUUGAGGUAAUGUAGUUCAACAUUUUGUGUAGUAUUGUUAAAAUAGUGUAUCUAAAAUGUUGAGCUAAUACACAAAAAGUGUUGAGCUAGUAUAUAUUAUUUAAACAUUUCAAAAGUCUAGAUUCAACAUUUAUGGAAACCACAUUUUAGAUAAACUGGUUCAAUAUUUUGCAUAGCAUUGUUGAAAUAGUGUACCUUAAACGUUGAGCUAAAUAUAUAAAAAUGUUGAGCUAAUAUAUCUAAAAUGAUGAAACUAAGAAAAUAAAAAUGAAAAAAAUAUAUACAGUCAUGUGGGAUCUUAAUCCGUUAGAAAAAUUUCGAAAAGGCUCAUAGUUUAAUCGGAAUUAAAAUUAAAUGCACCGUUAGAGAGAUAAGUAAGUUGAAAAGUUCGAAAUCAAAACUCACAUCACCCAACAAGUAGCUGAAACCUAUCCGUCCUUUCAGCAGCUCCACCCACCUCGCACCAGCAUACUAGCACAUGGUGGUCCCCAGCCACCUCGAUGCCGUUGCGUCGAAGGAGAGGGCGGAACCGACGAGGGUCGCCGGCGGCUCCCACCCCGGCCGAACGCGUCCUGACCGACUCCGGCAGGGGGCGGCAGGGCCUCCCGCAGGUGAGCGCUUCCAUCCGUGGUCCGCAGCAGUAAUGUCUGAUUUUUCGCUUUCUUCUCCAGAAUUCGUCGCAUAUACUUAUAUGUCAUCGUCCUCUUAUUUUUCGCUUUCUUCUCCAGAAUUCGUCACAUAUACAAAGCUUUCACGAUUUCGAUGAGAGAUUUGGUCAUGUUUGUGGCCACGGAGACACAGUCUAGCUAGCGUAGUGAAAAGUGGCACUAGUGAUUGCAAUACGCACGGAAAUUGGUUUUUUGUCUGUUCUUUCUCCAUCUCAAUCAUCAAUCAAAUGGGGGUAGUCGUCGGUACGCCGGGUGGGCCGAGUUGGCCAAACUGCACAGUGGUGGUGGCAGCCAAGGUGUUGUUCAAGGUCGGGCUGGCACGCACACGGCCGUACCAUAUCAGGGUGUGUCCUGCUUCCCCGUCAACUUGGGGAGGUGGGCCAAGCGACAGCUAGCUGUGGUGUGGUGGGCAUCCAGCAGGCGCGCAGGGCCCAGCCGUGGCCGUGAUUAUGCGCCGGGGUGAGAGAAGAAGACACGGCACCUAAUACUUUCCUCACCUUUGCAGUGCCGUGGGCCCACCACUUCCCUUCUGGCCCACAUGUCAUGGAGACACGUCAGGCUGUGGUGGACAAGGGAAGACACCGCACCGCACGCACCUCCACCACUUGCCUUGCCUUUGCCUUCGCUUUUCCCACUUGUGCUGUGGGAAGACACCGCAUACACCUCCAGCUCGAGCUCGCCCGCCUAGCUAGGAGCUCCAGCAUCCGGUCCGCUCCGCCGCCGGUGCAGCAACCACGCCGCCGUCAGACCGCCUCGCGCGGCCACCGGUCGUCCCCGCGAUACACCGCCGCCGGUGCGCCGUGCGCGGCGGCGCUGUCCCGCCGCUCCUCCGCCUACCGUCCGCCUGCGCCACCACCAGCGCACCGGCAGCACCGCGAGCUGCUGCGCCGCCCCGACGUUGGUCCUUCCUGAGCCCGGUGUCGUCACCAGCGUCGCGGAGAAGCUAAUUACCUGGAGCAAUUUGUAGAAACAAAUAGUACUGGUUCGUUCACUUAUUUCUUUGCUGAAACUUAAUUUCUGCUUAGAGUUUGUGCCUAAAUUAGCUGCUUAUUCUGCUGGUUGCACGCAGGAGAUCGAGCUACGGGCGUACGGCCGGAUCGGAGGAGGACAUAUCAGCCGGGUUCCUGUUGGUUGUGUACUUGUGUUCCUGCCGGCAGAGAAGCAACCAUGGCCGAGUUACUGAUCGGGCCACUGAUCUCCAUGGUGAAGGAGAAGGCAUCCAGCUACCUGCUGGACCAAUACAAGGUGAUGGAAGGCAUGGAGGAGCAGCGCAAGACCCUGGAGCGCAUGCUGCCAGCAAUCCUGCAAAUCAUCCAGGAUGCGGAGGAGAAAGGAGCCUCCCGAUCUAAAGUUGCAGUUUGGCUUAAAGACCUCAAGACAGCGGCCUAUGAGGCCAACGACGUCUUUGAUGAGUUCAAGUACGAGGCGCUUCGGCGAGAAGCCAAGAAGAAGGGCCACCAAAGCAAGCUUGGAGCGGAGGUAGCAAGACUCCUAGUCCCCGCUCGUAAUUCCAUUGUAUUCCGUUACAGGAUGGGCAAGAAGCUAAGCAGGAUUGUGCAGACCAUCGAGGCCCUGGUCACCGAGAUGAAUAAAUUUGGUUUCAGACACUUGCAGCAAGCACAGCCAUCAAGGCAGUGGCGACAGACAGAUUCCAUAAUCAUUGACUCCGACACAGAUAUUCUUAGCAGAUCUAGAGAUCGGGAGAAGAAGAAAAUCGUGGGGAUGCUCCUUGAUCAAGCUAGCAACAUGGAUCUCAUGGUUCUUCCAAUUGUUGGGAUGGGUGGGAUGGGCAAGUCCACCUUUGUGCAACUCAUUUACAAUGACCCUGCAAUCGAGAAGCACUUUGAGCUUCGGAGGUGGUGCUGCGUGUCAGAUGAUUUCGAUGUCAGUACCAUUGCAAGCAACAUCUGCCAGACCAAUGAGAAAUAUCGUGAAAAAUCAUUGCAGGAGCUCCAGAGUACAAUAAGUGGAAAAAGAUACCUCAUUGUGUUAGAUGAUGUAUGGAAUCGGGAUGCUGAUAAGUGGGGAAAACUAAAGACCUGCCUUAAGCAGGGUGGCAAGGGCAGUGCGGUACUAACAACAACUCGUGAUGCAGAAGUGGCUCGCAUUAUGACCAUGGGUGUAGCUCAAGCCCAUAAUAUCGAGAAUCUGAGUGACGAGCAUUUAAAGGAAAUUGUCCAGAGCAGAGCAUUCAGCUUGCAAAAUCCAAAUAUGGAAGAGCAAGAUGGCAUUCUCAGUGGAUUUGUUCGUCGAUGCGUUGGAUCUCCCUUGGCUGCCAAAGCCUUUGGCUCUAUGUUGAGUAACAGGACUAGUGUAAAUGAAUGGAAGGAUGUAUUAGCUAAAAGUGACAUUUGUAGUGAGAAAACCGGAAUUUUACCGAUCCUCAAGCUCAGUUUUGAUGACCUAUCCUCAGAUAUGAAGCAGUGCUUUGCAUUUUGUGCUUUAUUUCCUAAAGAUUAUGAGAUUGAUGUGGACCUCUUGAUUCGACUGUGGAUGGCACAUGACUUCAUACCUGUGCAGGAGGAUGACAAUCUAGAAACCAUAGGAAAAUAUAUUUUUGAGGAGCUAACUCGGAGGUCAUUCUUUCAAGAUGUCAGGCAAACACUUCAAUUUGACUAUUUUGGAAGCAGGUUGUCGCUUCGUAAGUCAACCAUAUGCAAGAUACAUGAUCUCAUGCAUGACAUUGCUCUAUCUGUUCUGGGGAAAGAAUGUGUCACUAUAGUUGGUAAGCCGAGCGUCAACAAGCUGUUGCUAAAUCCGACCCGCCACGUCUUCUUAUCACUAUAUGGUUUCAAUCCUACUUUCUGGAAAGAACAGGUUACAAGUCUACUAGAUCAUCUAUUGAAGAAACAAACUGCAAUGCUCCAUACGUUGUUUAUCAAAGAUUAUGGUCAACCCCUUGAUAUAUCAAAGUACACUUCACUGCGAGCAUUACACCUUCCAGCAAAUGAAGAGCUAAGGUAUCCUAAUCUGUCGCCACAUGAACAGCUUACAAGACACAUACAACACCUAAGGUAUCUUAAUCUGUCAUCACAUUGGUUCGAGAAACUUCCUGAAGGUAUAAGCAUUAUGUAUCAUCUACAAACGUUGGACCUCUCUCAUUGCAAAUACCUUCGUCACCUUCCAAAGGAUAUGAAGUAUAUGGCAAACCUCCGACACCUCUAUACCCAUGGAUGCAUAUCAUUGACAUGCAUGCCUCCAGGACUUGGACAGAUCACUUCUCUGCAGACUCUAACAUAUUUUGUUAUUGGUGAUGGCUUGGGAUGUAGUACUAUUGGGGAACUUCAAAACUUAAACCUUGGUGGAGAGUUAGAGUUAAGUGGUCUGCAAAAUGUAACAGAAGUGCUUGCAAAAGCAGCCAGUCUUGAAAAUAAAGAGAGACUCACACACUUAUCUCUCGCGUGGAAUGAUGAUGCCCGUGAGAAACCAGAUUCUCAUAAUGAGGUGUUAGAUGCCCUUAAACCUCAUCACCGGCUAGAGAUGCUAAGAAUAAAGUCCUACAAAGGCACCAAAUUACCGUCAUGGAUAACAGAUCUUAGUCUGUUGCAGCACUUGACUGAGCUCCAACUGGUUGGUUGUAGGCUGUGCGAGGAAUUUCCUCAAUUCUGCCAUUUCAAAGCCCUUGAAGUUCUGUAUUUGAAAAAGUUGGACAAAUUGCAAAGCCUAUGCAGUCAUAUGGUGUCUACGCCAUUUCCAGCACUGAAGCAACUCCAGUUACAUGAUUUGGAGAGCUUGGAGAGAUGGGUCGCAACAGAAGGAAAAGAAGAUGAAUUAUCCUUUCCUGUACUUGAGGAGGUUGAAAUAGAGAACUGUCCAAAGUUGACUAGCCUACCUGAAGCACCAAAGCUCAAGGUUGUAAAGCUGGAUGAAGGCAAGCCGCUGCUCUCCUUAGGAAUAGUUAAAUCAAGGCACAUGUCUUCAAUUUCUAAGCUACUACUGCGUGUCCGUGACACAGAAGCACUGCCUCAGAUAGAUUAUAAUUGGGAUUCAUCACAGAAACUGGAACUAUCUUUGGGUGGCACAGAAGCCGCACCUCUGUCACAACUGAGCAUAUUUGGCUGCAACUUUUUAUUCGUAUCAAGCCACUCACAGCUAACACCUGGGGUCUGGAAAUGGUUUGAACAUCUUGCAGUUUUAACAAUUGCAAAAUGUGAUGUGCUCAUCUACUGGCCAGAAGAAGUGUUCCAAAGCUUGGUAUCUUUGAAGUACUUGUUCAUUUUCUCCUGCAACAAGCUAAUAGGGCCCACACAAGCGAAAGGUGACAAACCUACACAAACAACAGAUCAAGUCCUGCCACAUCUAAACAUGAUACGUAUACACAAUUGUGAAAGCAUGGCACAGCUCUUCAUUCUUCCCCCAUCUAUCAGAAUUAUUCAUAUUUUUGAGUGCCCUAAGCUUGAGUUCAUAUGGGGAAAAGAGGAGCAUCUUGACACAUAUGCAUCGCUGGAACAUUGCCGCGACCCUGCAUCCACCACUGGUAACCUAGAGCAAUCGCCGUCUCCAAUUAUUCGCCGUCCAUGCCUUGUAGAUCUAACUAUAAGAGGAUGUGAUAGCCUGGUAACACUUCCAAAUCUACCACCGUCCCUCAAGGAAUUAUUCAUCCGGAAGUGUGAGAAGCUCUGCUCUGUGUCAGGAGACCUGUGUGCACUCGAGACCCUACAGAUUGUUAACUGCAAUAAGUUACAGUCAGUCAAUUCCUUGGGAGACCACCCAUCAUUAGAAACACUGUUUCUUUCUGGCUGCCGAUGCCUUGCAUCUUUAGGAUGUGAUGGUGGUCGUGGGAGUUACUCUGCUCUUCAGUGCCGUGAGAUCGAAGACUGCCCAGCCAUAGAUAUGAAGCAGUUUUACUAACGCCAUCAAACAGCUGCUUGACAGCUUUGAAUAUGAAGACGUAUCACACGUUCAUUCAAGCAGCUCUGAUGAAGGUACGACCUUUCACUUUCCUCUUAUUCAAUUUGUUUCCUUCAAAUUUCCCUUCUUUGCAUGCCCUCCUAUUUUGUUGACGAUCUGGUUUAUAGAUGGGCUUGCGGGGUGGGAUUUUGGGGUUUCAUCUUCGUUCCGGCUUUUAGACGGUCCUUUCUCACUGACGUGACCCCACAUAUAUUUUAGUUUAUACGGCUAUUGGUUUUCAGUCUUCGAUGCAGUUGAAGUGCAUAGGGAAAUUCUGGAAACAUGUUCUAUCCCUUGGUGUUGAGAUCAGCUGAUGCGGAAUCACUGAAGUACUACUGAAACGAGAUCCUGAUCGGUCUCAGUUGUGGAGAGCAAUUUGUGAUGAAUGGAAGCAGUCCCAAGGCUUCAAGAACUCAUGGAGUCGUGCUGUACCAUUCUCCACUGCCAGGGCCUAAACUAGGUACAUGGAAGGCGCACAGGUUGGGAUAGUAAAAAACCAUACCUUUGUCUGUGUUAGAGCAACUCCAAGAGGCUGCUAAUCUUACCCCAAUACCUUUUUUAGGAAAAAAAAAGAGAAAAAAUGAACUCCAACAAUCCACCUAAACCUUCCCCAAUUUUUUAGCGACGCUAAAAAACAGCCUGCCAUCGCGUAUAUUUUAGCGUUGGCGUUCCUUCCCCAAUCCUGAUUCCCGCACACCCGCGCGUCCCUUCCGAUGGGCCCAAUACGAUGACGUGGCCUGUGUUUGAAAUAUUGGGGGCUAUUUAUUAGCGAUCUGUUGUGGACUGAUAUGCUUUUGGGGGAAAUUUUUUUUGGGAGAACCCCCAAUACAUAGUUUUGGGGAAGAAUUUUUUAGGAUACUCUUGGAGUUGCUCUUAGAGCAUCUUCAAGAGUCUGCCAAAAAACUCUUCCCCAAAACCACAUCAUCCCACAAUAGAUCCCUAAUAAUAAAUUUUCCAAUAUUUUAAAAUUUGCCACAUCAGCAUGCGUGGACCCUAAGCUGGGCUGCCCCCUUCCCCCGCUGGAGCGUUUUCGCGCUUUCGCACUGUGGCUGCCUGAGCAGGGGUUGGUCUGUGCUGAUUUGCUGAACCAUGCAUAUUAUAUGCACUGGGACUGUCAUGCCCUCAGAAAAGCAUCAUCAUCUACUGGUAUGACGUCAAUUCAGCCUCAAACUCUCAACACUGAAGGCCUUCGAGGACUAGGACUACGCCAGCGCCACCCAUUGAAUCCCAUCCCCAUCUCGGCCACGUGCCAUGCCAUGCCCAGCCGUGGGGCACUGGGCAGCCCACGUGCAGCCACUUGUGGCCACGGACGCCCAGCCAGACCAUCACCCCCAAGAGGAGGAACGCCUUAUCUUUUCACCAUGAGAAAGCAGAGUCUAACGGUCCGUGGGCAAUAGGAAAAUCAGCACCGGCGGACUCCUGUGUUCACCUUCAUAUUUUUCGUGGUCUAUAUUAUGCGAGUUAUAGCAGUCCUAGGGAAUUUGUUUGGUGUCUCGGAGUUGUCAUAUUCCUAUUAAUGAUUGUGACAGCUUUUAUAGGAUACGUACCACCUUGGGGUCAGAUGAGCUUUCGGGGAGCAACAGUAAUUACAAGCUUAGCUAGCGCCAUACCAGUAGUAGGAGAUACCAUAGUGACUUGGCUUUGGGGUGGUUUCUCCGUGGACAAGGCUCUUGGAGUUGCUCUUAAUCAAUUCUCAUUUAGCACUCUGUUGUUAACAUGUUACCCCCAUGCUUUUCAUUUUUUCUGUGCAGACAUGACCCAUUUAUCCUUAAAAGGCAUAAAGGAGGGCACUCACAUGUACGCACGACUGGCAACUGGAAGCUUCGUUGCAAGCCUCUGCUAACGACCAAGUUUGUUUUCACGCCACUAUACCAGCUGCUGGUAAUUCUCUUGUCACUAAUGUCAUCCUGUCAUCCAUCAAAGCCGUGGAGAAUAUGAUGCCACUCUGAGUCCUUCAGUUUGCCACGUGAGCCGAUGAAGCAGAAACAGAUGAUGAUGAUGGAUGAUAUAACUGCGGGGAUGCAGACUUGCUUUCAACGGUCGAAAUGGAGCUACAAAUGAUUAGUCGUAGUCGUGUGUGGUCCUUCCAUCACCUUGUGUUAUUGAUCCCGUUUGUAUGUGUUGCGUUCUCUAUAUCCCUCCAUAGCUUUUCAGUUGUUGUCUCUUUUACGACUAUUUUGAUUCCUCUUUUCCUUUUUAUUAAUAUAACACAAAAAUCCUCUUGCCAUGUUUUUGAAAAAACAAAAUCGUGAGGAUGCUGCUUCAUGAAGCUAGCAACAUGGAUCUCAUAUGGUUCUUCCGAUUGUUGGGAUUGGUGGGAUGGGCAAGACCACCUUUAAUUUGUGCAACUCAUUUAUGACCCUGAUCGUGAUGCAUUUUGAGCUUCAGAGGUGGUGCUGUGUGUCAGAUUCGAAAAUGUUUUUUGACUCUUUCAUCACCGCCUUCAGUAGCUCAUGCCGGUCAGGUCUUCUCCAGUGACCAGUUCCUUCACCUUGGUUGCGCACCCCCUCACCUGGGCUUGCAGCUAGGUCAUAGCCUUGGCAUUCCGCAUCAUCUCAGCCAUGGCAUAGUCUAGUGCUACGUAGGUUGUGUCCGUCCCGGCUUCAAACAUGUCCUUCAUGAACAUAUCCGUAGAACUCCAAUCAAAUUUAACCAAACUAGUCAUGAAACAUGUCAUAUGUACCUCUUGUGAGAAUUAAAUUGGAGGCUUAAAAUCCUUCAAUUAGUAACAGUAAGAAAUUAAUUAAAAUUUGGAGUUUUGUUGCAUACAAGUUGCCAGUCACCAGUACAGAAAUGACCUUUAGUCCUGGUUAGGAAACCUUGGGAAACCUCAAAGAGCUCGGUUUUCCCGACCGGGAUUAAGUAUUCGGGAUUUAGUCCUGUAACACCAUGUGCUUUGCCUUAUAAUGAAAGCCACUAAAAAUUCGAACUUCUAAAAUUUUCCUAUAAACUAAAAUGUGCCUUGCUAUUUCAUACCUCAAAACCCUUUCAAAAUAAAUUUUACAAAACAACCUUCAUCAAAAUUCACCAUAUGCAUUUUAUUGUGCUUGUUUGAGUGUUGUUUGCUUGUGUGCUUUGUUGAAUCUUUUGGUGGCAACCAACCCCUUGACCUCCUUUCCAAAUUUCCCACAAAUCCUUGUUAAACAUCCCUUCGAAUUCCUCAAAUCCAUUCAAACUCCAUUUCAAAUCUCUUCCAAAAUUAUUCAAACCAUUUCCUUGGGUGCAGGCUCAAUUUCCCUCUCCUCUCCUUUCGGCCUGGCGUGGCUUGCUUCUCCUUCUCCCUUUCAGCCCAGCUCGGCCCGCCCCUCCUCGCCUUCUUCUUUCCCGAGCAGGCCACCUCCUCCUCCUCCUUUACUUCCGCACGGCCCGGUCCAGCCCACAACGGCCGCCACCUCUCUCUUCCUCUCCGCACCAGCACCGCCCAUGAGAAUGGCCCGUGACGACCCGGCUCCCACUCCAUGUCAGCAUUGCGUCCGCACACAGCCGCUGAUGAGUAGGUCCCACUCAAUAGCGUCAUCCCCAACCUCGUGUCGUCUUCCCCAAUGCGUCUCGUUGCCGCCGCCUUGUCCCAUCUCCGCCCGUCGCCUAUGCCGUCGUGCCGGCCCCGAAGAAAUAUCUCGCCGCUCCAUCCCAUCAUGGCCCCACCUGUCAUCCCGCACGGUCCUAAAAGAUCUCCGCCGCCCGCUCCACGGACCUCUGUGCACAAUCGACCUCUCGCGGCUAUAAAAGCUGGCGAGCCCCGCCAUCGCUCCCCGCACCUCAAGCUCGAGCUCCCUCCCUCUUCUUCUGCUCGAGCUCGCCUCCUCCCUCUUUAGUCCUCUCCUCCCUCCACCGGAGCACGGCUUCCUCCGAAGCCACGCCUCGCCGAGCCCUGCCCUUCCCUCUUCCUGUCUAGCGCGCCACCGCACAGAACUGCCAGCCAAGCACUAGCGCCGCCACCGUGACAAACUCGAGGAGGACAAAGUGCCGAGCGACGUUGGAUCGGUAACAAGCGGCCCUGAUCUGCCUGAGCUAAUUCGCGUCCCACACCCGAUGACAAGUAGGCCCGAGUCUAACGCCGAAAAUGCCGUCUGUUGGUGACCAGUGGGCACCACAUCAGCAAGCAAGCUCCCAGACAUCACCAUGGCACUGGGAGGGUGCCUCGCAAGCACCACGCGGACACACCCGUAGCAAAUGACACGUCAUCAUGGGUCCACAUGUGAGUUACUGUGUGACACUGUGCGGUCAACAGUCAACACUGACCAGGGACACACCUGGAGUAACUGUGUCGACGGUAAAAUUACUACGCGUACUCAGGUUAGUGUACACGGAAGUCUCGUUUACCCCUUUCCUUGCACAAGCAAGCUCCCAGACAAAUUGUCACUCGCCAUGGCACUGGGAGGGUGCCUCGCAAGCGCCACGCGGACACACCCGUAGCAAAUGACACGUCAUCAUGGGCCCACAUGUGAGUUACUGUGUGACACUGUGCGGUCAAUAGUCAACACUGACCAGGGACACACCUGGAGUAACUGUGUCGACGGUAAAAUUACUACGCGUACUCAGGUUAGUGUACACGGAAGUCUCGUUUACCCCUUUCCUUGCACAGAAAAAUUUCCAAAAAAUUCCUAAAAAUACUAGAGCCACCCUAUAACCCAUCCAAACCUUUUGCACCCCAUUUCCAUCAUACAAAAUUAUGGGAAAAUAAAUUUCACCACUCAGGCACUCAUAAAUUCCAAUAAAUCACAUAAAUUCCCGAUAAAUUCCCAAAAAUCAUCUCUCCUGUCAAACUCCGUUUCUGUCAAUUCUUCCACCAAAAUUCUUCUAAAAUUAAAUCCUUGAUAUCCCUUCCGGUGCCACCAUUAGUUUCUUUGUUUGAUUCUUGAUUUGUUCAUGUAUUGCUCUUCGACCUGUUAGUCACUAACAUCACACAAACCCCUUAUGCUCAUGCAUGCAUAUACACUGUAGCAUGUAUACAACUAUAUGAGUAUACAUACACCCCCCUUCACACACCUACCACCGAUACUUUUUUUAUUUUUGUUUUUGCAAAAAAAAAAUCAAAACUAUUUAGUCCCAGUUGGUAAUACCAACAGGGACUAAAAGGGGCGGGAGGUAGCCACUGGCGCCGUGAUCGUUUUCUUCCGGUUGGUAUUACCAACUGGGACUAAAAGGGGAUAUUAUAUCCCGGUUUUGGGACCCGUGAUAAAAGACCCCCCUAUCUCGACAAGUUAAUCCUAGAUGCAUUUUCGGAAGAUAUGCACCCUACAAACCGGUACUAAUACCGAAUUUUCUAAUAGUGAAUGGUGCCGGUAGGCGUCCCCUUCAGCUGCAUUCUCUUCCAACCUGCAUACAAAGAGUCACUGGAGAUAGCGUGAUACAACCUCGGUUAGUCAGGCGAUCAAAUGAUAUAACCUCGAGUUAAUCUAGGCCGAAGCCAAUUAGCUUCCGUGUUUCUAUCUGAAGCUGGCAGAGUUAGCGCCUUGUCUGGGCGAGCUAAGACCCGGGUUAUAGGCGAAGGGGAUGAGUUUUGGACAGAUCCCCAACAUCUCGAAAAAUUAAUCUCGGUUGGGCAUUGGAGAGUUAUGCUCCUUCCCAACCGGGACUAAUAGUCAGUUUUCUACUACUGGUUGUGUAGAGGUGAGGAGGCGAGGGUUUUAGGUGAGGACGAUGAGGUGGCACCGCUCCCUUUCUCCGAUUCAACUGUCUCUAUAAAAUUGAUAUGGUUAGAUAUGUCAUAUUCUGUGGUACCACCUCGCGAUCACGAUGUGUGUGCCUCUAUAUAUGUUGUGCCAUUGCAGUCCAUUCGAUCGAGGGAGUACCAUAGCGUGACUGAACUACUGAAAAUGAAAAGCCUACACUUCUGCAACAACACAGUCUACCCCUAUGUUUACAACCUGACUUCCUCCUACAUCGACCAGAACAAUGAGGCCACCAUGGUGACCACCACCUUGGUCAUGUUUAUGCUGGCCGUGUUCGUCUUCAACCUCAACCUCUUCAGCCGCUUCUUGGACGUGAGCGCGAUUCUCAACCCUAGCGUCCGCCUCUUCCUCUCCACCUCCCUGUCCCUCUUCCUGCCGGUCAUGUCCUACCUCUUCUCCGAGGCCAAGAACCAAGGUGCAACGACG
rnacentral:lncRNA from 1 species